UACGGGGGGGGCAAGCGUUGUUCGGAAUUACUGGGCGUAAAGGGCUCGUAGGUGGCCAACUAAGUCAGACGUGAAAUCCCUCGGCUUAACCGGGGAACUGCGUCUGAUACUGGAUGGCUUGAGUCUGGGAGAGGGAUGCGGAAUUCCAGGUGUAGCGGUGAAAUGCGUAGAUAUCUGGAGGAAUACCGGUGGCGAAGGCGGCAUCCUGGACCAUUACUGACGCUGAGGCGCGAAAGCUAGGGGAGCAAACGGG
rnacentral:rRNA from 1 species